rnacentral:rRNA from 1 species
GGACGGGUGAGUAACGCGUGAGGAACCUGCCUUUCAGAGGGGGACAACAGUUGGAAACGACUGCUAAUACCGCAUGACACAUAGGUGUCGCAUGGCACUUAUGUCAAAGAUUUAUCGCUGAAAGAUGGCCUCGCGUCUGAUUAGCUAGUUGGUGAGGUAACGGCCCACCAAGGCGACGAUCAGUAGCCGGACUGAGAGGUUGAACGGCCACAUUGGGACUGAGAUACGGCCCAGACUCCUACGGGAGGCAGCAGUGGGGAAUAUUGGGCAAUGGGCGCAAGCCUGACCCAGCAACGCCGCGUGAAGGAAGAAGGCUUUCGGGUUGUAAACUUCUUUUGUCAGGGACGAGUAGAAGACGGUACCUGACGAAUAAGCCACGGCUAACUACGUGCCAGCAGCCGCGGUAAUACGUAGGUGGCAAGCGUUGUCCGGAUUUACUGGGUGUAAAGGGCGUGUAGCCGGGAGGGCAAGUCAGAUGUGAAAUCCACGGGCUCAACUCGUGAACUGCAUUUGAAACUACUCUUCUUGAGUAUCGGAGAGGCAAUCGGAAUUCCUAGUGUAGCGGUGAAAUGC